rnacentral:rRNA from 1 species
CGGGUGAGUAACACGUGGAUAACCUACCUAUAAGACUGGGAUAACUUCGGGAAACCGGAGCUAAUACCGGAUGAUAUUUUGAACCGCAUGGUUCAAAAGUGAAAGACGGUCUUGCUGUCACUUAUAGAUGGAUCCGCGCUGCAUUAGCUAGUUGUAAGGUAACGGCUUACCAAGGCAACGAUGCAUAGCCGACCUGAGAGGGUGAUCGGCCACACUGGAACUGAGACACGGUCCAG